CGGCUUUAGCUACAAUAACAUAGUAUUCUCAGUAGAAAACCCACAUAUCAAGUGAUAUAGAGAGAGAAUUAUAGAUAUUAAGAGGUGAUGGCAUGAUGGAUUGAUCAGAAUUCAAUUAGCAUAAAAGCCAGUUGAGGUGAGGUGAGGUGACAGUCACCUGUCUUCAAUUGAGCUUUGAGGGGUGACAGCUCUGAUGCACCUUGGGUGCACCUCGUACCCACACUCCAGACAUUGGUAAGCCCAACCAGAUCCCUGCUCUUCACAAUCGCAGCAUAUAAAGGGCCCCCCUCCACUGCCUUCUGAUACCAACGUUAGCAGAUGCCGAUGUCCUGCAUGGUAUUCACUUCUUGGUAAGCUCUUGGCUGCCUCUUCCAGUUCUUUCUCUAGC
rnacentral:lncRNA from 1 species